rnacentral:rRNA from 1 species
CUCUGUGACUCCUACGGGAGGCAGCAGUGGGGAAUAUUGCACAAUGGGGGAAACCCUGAUGCAGCCAUGCCGCGUGUGUGAAGAAGGCCUUCGGGUUGUAAAGCACUUUCAGUAGGGAGGAAGGUAGUGUAGUUAACACCUGCAUUAUUUGACGUUACCUACAGAAGAAGCACCGGCUAACUCCGUGCCAGCAGCCGCGGUAAUACGGAGGGUGCGAGCGUUAAUCGGAAUUACUGGGCGUAAAGCGCAUGCAGGCGGCUUGUUAAGUCAGAUGUGAAAGCCCGGGGCUUAACCUCGGAAUUGCAUUUGAAACUGGCAGGCUAGAGUCUUGUAGAGGGGGUAGAAUUUCAGGUGUAGCGGUGAAAUGCGUAGAGAUCUGAAGGAAUACCAGUGGCGAAGGCGGCCCCCUGGACAAAGACUGACGCUCAGAUGCGAAAGCGUGGGGAGCAAACAGGAUUAGAUACCCUGGUAG